UGUAACGCGUGGAUAACCUGCCCUUUAGACCGGGAUAACGCCGGGAAACCGGUGCUAAUACCGGAUACGUUCAACUGGCUGCAUGGCUGGUUGAAGAAAGGAGCAAUCCGCUAAAGGAUGGGUCCGCGUCCCAUUAGCUGGUUGGUAGGGUAACGGCCUACCAAGGCGACGAUGGGUAGCCGGCCUGAGAGGGCGACCGGCCACACUGGAACUGAGACACGGUCCAGACUCCUACGGGAGGCAGCAGUGGGGAAUCUUCCGCAAUGGGCGCAAGCCUGACGGAGCAACGCCGCGUGAGUGACGAAGGUCUUCGGAUUGUAAAACUCUGUCCAGAGGGAAGAAACAAAUGACGGUACCUCUGGAGGAAGCCCCGGCUAACUACGUGCCAGCAGCCGCGGUAAAACGUAGGGGGCGAGCGUUGUCCGGAAUUACUGGGCGUAAAGGGCGUGUAGGCGGCUUGGUAAGUCAGUCGUGAAACCUACCGGCUCAACCGGUAGCUGGCGAUUGAAACUGCUGGGCUUGAGUGCAGUAGAGGGGAGUGGAAUUCCCAGUGUAGCGGUGAAAUGCGUAGAUAUUGGGAGGAACACCAGUGGCGAAAGCGGCUCCCUGGCCUGUAACUGACGCUGAGGCGCGAAAGCGUGGGUAGCAAACAGGAUUAGAUACCCUGGUAGUCCACGCCGUAAACGAUGGGUGCUAGGUGUUGGGGGUAUCGACCCCUCCAGUGCCGCAGUUAACGCAAUAAGCACCCCGCCUGGGGGAGUACGGCCGCAAGGCUGAAACUCAAAGGAAUUGACGGGGGCCCGCACAAGCGGUGGAGUAUGUGGUUUAAUUCGACGCAACGCGAAGAACCUUACCAGGUCUUGACAU
rnacentral:rRNA from 1 species